GCCUCUGUAGCUCAGCGGUAGAGCGUUUGACUUGUAAUCAAAUGGCCGGGAGUUCAAAUCUCCCCAGGGGCU
rnacentral:tRNA from 1 species